CCUACGGGUGGCAGCAGUGAGGAAUAUUGGUCAAUGGGCGCGAGCCUGAACCAGCCAAGUAGCGUGAAGGAUGACUUCCCUACGGGUUGUAAACUUUUUUUAUAAAGGAAUAAAGUGAGGCACGUGUGCCUUUUUGUAUGUAUUUUAUGAAUAAGGAUCGGCUAACUCCGUGCCAGCAGCCGCGGUAAUACGGAGGAUCCGAGCGUUAUCCGGAUUUAUUGGGUUUAAAGGGAGCGUAGAUGGGUUGUUAAGUCAGUUGUGAAAGUUUGCGGCUCAACCGUAAAAUUGCAAUUGAUACUGGCAGUCUAGAGUACAGUUGAGGUAGGCGGAAUUCGUGGUGUAGCGGUGAAAUGCGUAGAUAUCACGAAGAACCCCGAUUGCGAAGGCAGCUUACUAGACUGUGACUGACAUUGAUGCUCGAAAGUGUGGGUAUCAAACAGGAUUAGAUACCCUAGUAGUC
rnacentral:rRNA from 1 species